GUCUCCAGAGAAAGGGAAAUUCCUUUACCUACGUCUGUGGGAGCAGCCGCUUGUCACUUCCUGGGGCUGUCGCUGGCCCCUGAGAUGGCCAACAGAGCUCCCUCCAGCCAGAGAGCACCAGAAUACAAGACACUGAAGGACCUCGCUGCUCCUGAUGAUGCAACGGGGAAAAGUCAAACCCACAUGAGGAAACGAAGGCACAAAGACAUCAAGUAACUUGCUCAAGUCACAUGGCCAAUAAGUGACGGAGUCCAAACGCAACCCUGUCACUCCAGCUCCAGACUCCAUCUUCCUACCAGAAGGAAUGGAAGGAAACUCACCGCCGUUGUGAAGAAACUUGGUGAAACUCCAGCAACUUCUACCACCUGCCCGCUGCUGAGUCAUGGGCUAGAAAAGAACCACGUGGGAUGUGCAACCUGGCCAUGUCUCUCGGGUUCUUGGCUGCUGCCGGCAACAUUCUCUGGGUUUGUACUCACAUGAGAGCACUCCUUCACUAUGGACUUGGAGGUGGAUGUGGGAGUGGGAAAUGUUCUUUUUCUCUUGCUAGUUAUGCCCUCUCAAUCCCAACCGGCUCAGUAAAAGGGGAGUGGGCAGGGACCAUACCGAAAAUAUAACUCAUCAUCUCUUCUUCCCCAGCGCAGCCUCCAUUUGUCCCAACUAUCACGAGAAGCUUUCCUCCCUUUCAAGGCAGUUUAUCCCUGCCUUAUACCCCCUUCCUCACCUUGUCCAGCCCUCAUUAGAACCUUAGAGGCAUAUGCUUGCCCUAAGGGCCUGGAAAAUU